CUCAUUUACCAUACGUUUGUCCCCU
rnacentral:sRNA from 1 species